rnacentral:tRNA from 1 species
CAUUAAGAAGCUAACAUGGAUAGCGACAGCCUUUUAAGCUGUAGCUCGGUGAUUCCAACCACCCUUAAUGA